rnacentral:rRNA from 1 species
AGAGUUUGAUCCUGGCUCAGGAUGAACGUUGGCGGCGUGCUUAACACAUGCAAGUCGAACGAAGCACUUUGGACAGAUUCUUCGGAUGAAAUCCUUAGUGACUGAGUGGCGGACGGGUGAGUAACGCGUGGGUAACCUGCCUCAUACAGGGGGAUAACAGUUGGAAACGACUGCUAAUACCGCAUAAGCCCACGACCCGGCAUCGGGUAGAGGGAAAAGGAGCAAUCCGCUUUGAGAUGGCCUCGCGUCCGAUUAGCUAGUUGGUGAGGUAACGGCCCACCAAGGCAACGAUCGGUAGCCGGACUGAGAGGUUGAACGGCCACAUUGGGACUGAGACACGGCCCAGACUCCUACGGGAGGCAGCAGUGGGGAAUAUUGCACAAUGGGGGAAACCCUGAUGCAGCGACGCCGCGUGGAGGAAGAAGGUCUUCGGAUUGUAAACUCCUGUUGUUGAGGAAGAUAAUGACGGUACUCAACAAGGAAGUGACGGCUAACUACGUGCCAGCAGCCGCGGUAAAACGUAGGUCACAAGCGUUGUCCGGAAUUACUGGGUGUAAAGGGAGCGCAGGCGGGAAGACAAGUUGGAAGUGAAAUCUAUGGGCUCAACCCAUAAACUGCUUUCAAAACUGUUUUUCUUGAGUAGUGCAGAGGUAGGCGGAAUUCCCGGUGUAGCGGUGGAAUGCGUAGAUAUCGGGAGGAACACCAGUGGCGAAGGCGGCCUACUGGGCACCAACUGACGCUGAGGCUCGAAAGUGUGGGUAGCAAACAGGAUUAGAUACCCUGGUAGUCCACACCGUAAACGA